UUUUGACAUUUUCAGGUUGUCCAAAAUGAAAUCCAAUAAUAUUGUGUACUUCCUGCCACUUAAUGCAGACAUGUAUCAGUCCUCACAGUUUUGACCCGUGCGUGUUUCUCGGACUCUGUACCUGCCUGCCCAACCAUUCAGCCUGCCUUGACUUCGAGCCUGCCUGCCACACUGUACCUACUGGACGCUGAACUGGUUUUGACCUUUUGCCUGUCCACAACCAUUCUCUUGCCAACCCCUUUUUGGAUCAAUAAACAUCUAAGAGUCCAA